UAUGACCUGAAAAGAGAACACGCAUGGAAUACUACUGGGUAACAAUUUCUGAAUAUUUUUUACUUGGUCAACAAAUGUUCACUAAGCGCCUAUUCUGUGACAGGUGCUGGGGUUUAGCCAUGGACAGCGAACAAGUUCUCACCCUCAUGAAGUUUAAACUUGCCCUCUCAUUUGGGAAAGACACACUAGAAGCUUUAGGGAGCCUGCACAUUAGACGCCAGCACACUGACCUCAUGGAAGUAACUGAAGCUCAUGGAAGAGCUCAUGGAAGUAACUGAAGACAGAAAAGGUUGAGGACUGGACUCUGGGGCCUCCCCACCCCCGGUCAUAUGUGUAAGAUCCAGCCAAGGAGUUGGCAGAGGGAUGGGAGGGAGGAGAACAAGUGAAGGAAUGUUUCACAGAGGGAGAGACCAACAGCUCAGGUAAAUUAGGACUGAAAAUGACCCUUUGGAUUCAGACACUGUUGCGUUGUGUACACAACCAUGUUAUCUACAACAUACACUGUACCUUUUUAACAGUAAAAAAAAAAUUUUUUAAUGUUUAUUUUUGAGAGAGAGCAUGAGUAGGGGAGGGGCAGAGAAAGAGGGAGACACAGAAUUUGAAGCAGGUUCCAGGCUUAGCUGUCAGCACAGAGCCCGACGCAGGGCUCGAACCCAUGAACUGUGAGAUCAUGACCUGAGCCAAAGUUGGAUGCUUAACCCAUUGACCCACCCAGGUGCCCUACACUAGCCUUUCUAAUUUUUAUACCUUUGAUUUCUUUUUCUUGUCUUAUUGGAUUGACUGGGGCUGCUGGGACAAUACUGAAUAGAAACAUUGAGAGCAGAAAAUUUUUUGUAGCUACUAAGUAUGACAUUAGUACAGACUCUGUGUAAAUAUACCUUCAACUUGAAGACAGGUUUGCUGAAUUGUUUUUGUUUUUGUAGUUUAUUUUGAGAGAGUGAGCAAGUCAGCAAGGGAUGGGGAGAGAACCACCACAAGCAGGCUCCACGCUCUAUCUCACAAACUAAGAUCAUGACCUGAGCUGAAAUCAAGAGUUGGAAGCUUAACCGACUGAGCCACCUAGGUGCCCAGGUUUGUGGAGUUUUUAUCAUGAACACAAAUUUUACCAGAUGCCCUUUCUACAUCUACUUAAAUGAUCUUAUGGUUUUCUGUCUUUAUUCAAUUAUGUGAAUUACACUGAUCCUCCCCCAUCCCCCACUCAGAUAUAAAGCUAGUAAGUGCAGAAAUCCUCAAGAACCUCAGCAUCCAAUGUGGGCAGUGAUGAGUGGACAGACAUCUGUGGGUUCUCUGCCAGGCUGGGUGGACUAUGGUCAUCCUCUCAGCCAGAGCUGCCUCAAGCAGAAAAAAGACCAUCACUGAAUUCUGCAUUAUUUGACUCGUAUGUAUUUACGUGUUUAGUUUUAGUGUUUAGCAUUUUCACCAAAUGCUCUAUAAAGACUGAAGGAAUGUGUAGUGACUCUUAGGUGUAGAUCUAGGCACCAGAUACAUUCUGGGUGGAGAGAAGAAUACAGCCAUUUCUAACAGCAUCAGGAUAGUCCACUAGGCCUUAAAAAGCUGGGUUCUGCCCACUUCCUCUCUGAACUACAACAGGUUUCUGCUUUCUAGGGGCCGGAGACUGGCAUGAGUUCGGAUCUGGAAAUUUUCGGUGAAGGAGCCCCCAUGACAGUCAUUACUGAUCUCCUCGCUCAGCUGCUGACAAAAAAAUGAGGCAGCCAUGGAUCAAGAAAUGGCUUAGUCUGCAGACAAGAGAACAGACAGCCUUGCCCUUACGUCCCGUCAAAAUGACAGCUAAUACACUGCUUGUAAGCUCCAUACUACUUGUUUCCCUUUAUCGAGUGGUUACAGGUCUAGAAUCAAACAGUUCUAACCCUCAGUCUCUGUGAAGGUUGCCUCUGAGGGACUUAGUCAAACCAACUAAUAGAGCUGUCAGACAAUGUGGUUUUGCAAGGAUGCCCCUCUGCCCCCUUUAUCCCACCCCAGCUCACUGCCAGUGUGAGAGUGAGGGCUCUAAAAUGGAGACCAGGACAUCUCCCAUUUUAUGGAUGCCACAGGAGCUGCCCAGGACCCUUGUGACUAUGAGAUUGCUAAUGGUGGAGUGUGGAUCAUGUCACAGCGGGGAGGGCCUUAAUUCUGGUGUGAGCUUUGUUUUCUUGAUAAUAUAAAGGAGAUAAAAGGAUGCAAAGAGAGGGUGCUAGAGAAGGAGUCCAGUUCUGCCUCACCCUGUGAAAACUAUGCUCAUCACUGCAGGCCUCAGUUUCCCUGUCUGUGAAUGCCAGACUGGACUAGAUGGACCCUUUCACAGCCUGACAAUGGUGUGCUCACCAAAAUGCUUAAAAAACUUGACCGGAGGGGCAUCUGGGUGGCUCAGUCAAGUGUCUGACUUCGGCUCAGGUCAUGAUCUCACGGUUUGUGAGUUUAAGCCCUGCAUCGGGCUCUGCUUUGGCAUUGUAGAGCCUGCUUGGGAUACUCUCUCCCUCUCUCCCCUCCUCAGAUUGCACAUGCACUCUCUCUCUCACAAAAUAAACUUAAAAAAAAAAAAAAAAGAA